rnacentral:rRNA from 1 species
CUUGAUACUAAGGGUCCUUAAGUCCCCCGCACGCACCCUUCGGGGUGUUUGGGGUGAGGCCGAACGCCUGACCUGAACUGGUAGUAGGUAAGCGAUGGGGUGACGCAGGAAGGUAGCCCAGCCCAGGCGAUGGUAGUCCUGGGGUAAGCAUGUAGGGAGGACCGUAGGCAAAUCCGCGGUCCAUUAAUCCUGAGAUGUGAUGCCGAGCCGAUUGUGGCGAAGUGGGUGAUCCUAUGCUGCCGAGAAAAGCCUCUAGUGAGUGUCGUGGCGGCCCGUACCCCAAACCGACUCAGGUGGUCAGGUAGAGAAUACCAAGGCGAUCGGGUGAACUGUGGUUAAGGAACUCGGCAAAUUGCCCCCGUAACUUCGGGAGAAGGGGGGCCUCCGCUGGUGAUCAGACUUGCUUUGUGAGCUGGUGGGGGUCGCAGUGGCCAGGGGGAAGCGACUGUUUACUAAAAACACAGGUCCGUGCGAAGUCGUAAGACGAUGUAUACGGACUGACGCCUGCCCGGUGCUGGAACGUUAAGGGGACCGGUUAGCGCACUUUCGGGUGUGCGAGGCUGAGAACUUAAGCGCCAGUAAACGGCGGUGGUAACUAUAACCAUCCUAAGGUAGCGAAAUUCCUUGUCGGGUAAGUUCCGACCCGCACGAAUGGCGUAACGACUUCCCCGCUGUCUCAACCGCAGACCCGGCGAAAUUGCACUACGAGUAAAGAUGCUCGUUACGCGCAGCAGGACGGAAAGACCCCGGGACCUUCACUACAGCUUGACAUUGGCGUUUGGAACGUCUUGUGUAGGAUAGGUGGGAGACGGUGAAGCUGUCACGCUAGUGGCGGUGGAGUCAUUGGUGAAAUACCACUCUGGUCGUUUUGAACGUCUAACUUCGGUCCGUGAUCCGGAUCAGGGACAGUGUCUGGUGGGUAGUUUAACUGGGGCGGUUGCCUCCUAAAGAGUAACGGAGGCGCCCAAAGGUUCCCUCAGCCUGGUUGGUAAUCAGGUGUCGAGUGUAAGUGCACAAGGGAGCUUGACUGUGAGACCGACGGGUCGAGCAGGAGCGAAAGCUGGGACUAGUGAUCCGGCGGUGGCAUGUGGAAGCGCCGUCGCUCAACGGCUAAAAGGUACCCCGGGGAUAACAGGCUGAUCUUCCCCAAGAGUCCAUAUCGACGGGAUGGUUUGGCACCUCGAUGUCGGCUCGUCGCAUCCUGGGGCUGGAGUAGGUCCCAAGGGUUGGGCUGUUCGCCCAUUAAAGCGGUACGCGAGCUGGGUUUAGAACGUCGCGAGACAGUUCGGUCCCUAUCCGCUGCGCGCGCAGGAGACUUGAAGGGAGCUGUCCCUAGUACGAGAGGACCGGGACGGACGAACCUCUGGUGUGCCAGUUGUUCCGCCAGGAGCAUGGCUGGUUGGCUACGUUCGGAAGGGAUAACCGCUGAAAGCAUCUAAGCGGGAAGCUCGCCUUGAGAUGAGGUCUCCCACCACGAAAGUGGGUAGGGCCCCCGGGAGACGACCGGGUUGAUAGGCCGGAGGUGGAAGCAUGGUAACGUGUGGAGCUGACCGGUACUAAUAGGCCGAGGACUUGACC